UUCUCUUAUAUGUGUGUCCACUCACUGCUA
rnacentral:piRNA from 1 species